GAACCUUACCUGGGCUCGAAAUGCUAUGGACCGGGGUAGAAAUAUCCCUUCCCCGCAAGGGGCCGUAGUAUAGGUGCUGCAUGGCUGUCGUCAGCUCGUGUCGUGAGAUGUUGGGUUAAGUCCCCCAACGAGCGCAACCCUUACUUCCAGUUGCCACCAUUUAGUUGGGCACUCUGGCAGAACCGCCUCGGAUAACGGGGAGGAAGGUGGGGAUGACGUCAAGUCCUCAUGGCCUUUAUGUCCAGGGCUACACACGUGCUACAAUGGCCGGUACAAACCGUCGCAAACCCGUGAGGGGGAGCUAAUCGGAAAAAGCCGGCCUCAGUUCGGAUUGCAGUCUGCAACUCGACUGCAUGAAGCUGGAAUCGCUAGUAAUCGCGGAUCAGAACGCCGCGGUGAAUACGUUCCCGGGCCUUGUCACACCGA
rnacentral:rRNA from 1 species